UUUAGUAUGCAUUUCCUUAUGAUUAAUGACGUUGAGAACCUUUUCAUGUGUUUAUUGGCCAUUUGGUUGUCUUCUUUUGCGAAGUACCUAUCUUUUAGCCAUUUCAAUUGCAAAGUCUGUCUUGUCUUACUCUUUUAUAGGAGUUCUGCAUGUAAUUUGGAAGGUUCGGUUUUGCUCUCAUGGCUAAAUACCCUUUGACCACCUUCAUCUUUACUGCUUGCGGGCAGUGAAAUAUUGUGGCAUUUUCUUGGAUUUUUCUUUCCUUGCAAAAUUAAGUUCAGUACAGAAAUCUUUUCUUUUGCUGAAGCAUUUCUGUCCCUGAAUAUUUUGUAGAAUCUUUACAUAUUACUCAGUACACUUCAUGUUUAUGUGAGUUUGUAUAUAUAUCUAUUUGCUCCCUGUACUAUAGGUUAAAUUAUGUUUUUUUGGAUCCUUUGCAAAGCAAAAGCCUGGUCUGACAUGGUUGACUUAAAAACUUGGUGCAGGUUGUUUCAGCAAUGUGGAUGGAGAAGCAUAUAGGAGUUUAUUACUGAUUACCUGGAUGUGGAGAGGUGACAGCUAUAUGUGCUUUACAGAAAAGAUGGCGUGGGUUUUAUUUAUACACAGCCUUGCAUAGAAAGGGUAAGAGAUGGUUUGUAGGGACACAUAAAAAAUAAGGUCGUAUAAAUCAGAAGUAGCUGGGAAUGUCUAUAGUAAUUCUCUUCAUUUUAAAAUUUUUAGAUAUAUAAUGAAAAGGAAUUAUUACAAGGUAAAUUGGACCUUCUUAGUGAUACCAACAUGGUAGACUUUGCUAUGGAUGUAUACAAAAACCUUUAUUCUGAUGAUAUUCCUCAUGCUUUGAGAGAGAAGAGAACCACAGUGGUUGCACAACUGAAACAGCUUCAGGCAGAAACAGAACCAAUUGUGAAGAUGUUUGAAGAUCCAGAAACUACAAGGCAAAUGCAGUCAACCAGGGAUGGUAGGAUGCUCUUUGACUACCUGGCGGACAAGCAUGGUUUUAGGCAGGAAUAUUUAGAUACACUCUACAGAUAUGCAAAAUUCCAGUACGAAUGUGGGAAUUACUCAGGAGCAGCAGAAUAUCUUUAUUUUUUUAGAGUGCUGGUUCCAGCAACAGAUAGAAAUGCUUUAAGUUCACUCUGGGGAAAGCUGGCCUCUGAAAUCCUAAUGCAGAAUUGGGAUGCAGCCAUGGAAGACCUUACACGGUUAAAAGAGACCAUAGAUAAUAAUUCUGUGAGUUCUCCACUUCAGUCUCUUCAGCAGAGAACAUGGCUCAUUCACUGGUCUCUGUUUGUUUUCUUCAAUCACCCCAAAGGUCGCGAUAAUAUUAUUGACCUCUUCCUUUAUCAGCCACAAUAUCUUAAUGCAAUUCAGACAAUGUGUCCACACAUUCUUCGCUAUUUGACUACAGCAGUCAUAACAAACAAGGAUGUUCGAAAACGUCGGCAGGUUCUAAAAGAUCUAGUUAAAGUUAUUCAACAGGAGUCUUACACAUAUAAAGACCCAAUUACAGAAUUUGUUGAAUGUUUAUAUGUUAACUUUGACUUUGAUGGGGCUCAGAAAAAGCUGAGGGAAUGUGAAUCAGUGCUUGUGAAUGACUUCUUCUUGGUGGCUUGUCUGGAGGAUUUCAUUGAAAAUGCCCGUCUCUUCAUAUUUGAGACUUUCUGUCGCAUCCACCAGUGUAUCAGCAUUAACAUGUUGGCAGAUAAAUUGAACAUGACUCCAGAAGAAGCUGAAAGGUGGAUUGUAAAUUUGAUUAGAAAUGCAAGACUGGAUGCCAAGAUUGAUUCUAAAUUAGGUCAUGUGGUUAUGGGUAACAAUGCAGUCUCACCCUAUCAGCAAGUGAUUGAAAAGACCAAAAGCCUUUCCUUUAGAAGCCAGAUGUUGGCCAUGAAUAUUGAGAAGAAACUUAAUCAAAAUAGCAGGUCAGAGGCUCCUAACUGGGCAACUCAAGAUUCUGGCUUCUACUGAAGAACCAUAAAGAAAAGAUG
rnacentral:sRNA from 1 species